UGGUUAACUUCCAGGAGCUGAAAUUAUUAAAGUUUGGUAAAUCAACACAGGAUUUUGCCCAUUUGGAAAUUUAGCCAAAAGGAAAUCACUUUUCGAGGCUACUAAGGUUUUGGAAGCCAUGGGUGAAGACAGUAUUCCUUCAACCAAGUUCUGGUAGAUCUGGGAUAGGGAUUUCCCAGGGUGUCUCAAGCUGCAGGCUGUGACUAACACACAAGGCAGAUAAGCCUUGCUAUGCCUCCUGGAUGCCUUAUGUUCGUUUAUUCCGUUAAAAUUAUAAAAUGUAUUAUAAUUUCCACCCAGAUGUCACCCUUCACUUCAAGACUUGGUGGCUUCCUCCACUAACACCCCCCACGUGUUGGCAUGCUGCUCUCCUGGCCACCAAAGCAGCCUGCAUUGGAGCUUUCAGGAUCAUUAUGUUCAGAGACAGAUGAAAUCCUCUUGCACCUACUGCUGACAUCUUCGAAAGGACAACCUGCAUCUUCCAGUGUUCUCUAACUCCCUCUCUUGUGGAACUUGGGGCAAAUCCUCCCAGCGAUGGAAGAGAAAACCUUUGAAGGCUCAGGCCUGACACCAGGCUGGAGCACCAAGACCCUGUCAGCCACACGGCAGAAGAUGAGAGAUCAUGUGGAGGAGAACUGAGGAGUCUCAGCCAAUAUCCAGUACCCACUGCUACACAUCUGAGUGAAGACAACUUGGACCCUCCAGCCACAGUGGAGCCUUCAAGAUAACUGCAGAUUAAAUGAUCCCAGGAUAAGGACCUCCCAGAUUUACAACCAUACGACUCAGCAAUUCCACUCCUAAGUAUUUACCUCGAGGAGGAGGCGUGUGUGGAGCUACCUUCCACAGAACGGGAGAAGUGGGAAGAACACACACCAUACUAUUUGGUCAUUAAAUGAAUGAAAGAGUUAUAGGAAUAUCCACAACAUUUUAUUAAGUGAAAAAAGAACACGGACUUCUGUGACUCGGCAUUGGCCCCGGGGUGACCCCUCUGGGAUCAGGAGAAGCAUUCCUCUCAAUCAGAUCGCAGAUUUUAUUAUCCAGCUCCACGCUUUCACAUCUGCCCAGGGGACAUGGGAAAGUCACAUUUUACAAAGGUCGCUGAGCUGAUGCCAGAUACCCCAGCCAAACCUCUUGUGGCCGCUCCCUGGAGGAACGCGUGGACAGAGGAGCCAGAUUGGAGUGGAGAUAAG